rnacentral:rRNA from 1 species
UACGAAGGGGGCUAGCGUUGUUCGGAAUCACUGGGCGUAAAGGGCGCGUAGGCGGCCGAUUAAGUCGGGGGUGAAAGCCUGUGGCUCAACCACAGAAUUGCCUUCGAUACUGAUUGGCUUGAGACCGGAAGAGGUCAGUGGAACUGCGAGUGUAGAGGUGGAAUUCGUAGAUAUUCGCAAGAACACCAGUGGCGAAGGCGGCUGACUGGUCCGGUUCUGACGCUGAGGCGCGAAAGCGUGGGGAGCAAACAGG